rnacentral:rRNA from 1 species
CCAAUAGCGUAUAUUAAAGUUGUUGCAGUUAAAAAGCUCGUAGUUGAAUUUCGGGAUCAAUGUUUCGGUCAUGCCGUUGGUAUGCACUGUUAUCAUUGUUUUCUCACCUUCUAAAGAACCGUAAUGCCAUUAAUUUGGUGUUACGGGGAAUUAGGACUGUUACCUUGAAAAAAUUAGAGUGUUUAAAGCAGGCUCACGCUUGAAUACAUUAGCAUGGAAUAAUGAAAUAGGACAUCCGAUUCUAUUUUGUUGGUUUCUAGGAUCGAUGUAAUGAUUAAUAGGGAUAGUUGGGGGCAUUAGUAUUCAAUUGUCAGAGGUGAAAUUCUUGGAUUUAUUGAAGACUAACUACUGCGAAAGCAUUUGCCAAGGAUGUUUUCAUUAAUCAAGAACGAAAGUUAGGGGAUCGAAGACGAUCAGAUACCGUCGUAGUCUUAACCAUAAACUAUGCCGACUAGGGAUCAGAUGAUGUUAAUUUUUUAAUGACUCAUUCGGCGCCUUACG